rnacentral:lncRNA from 1 species
UUGACCCAACUAUUCGGUGUAGGGCAUAUGAGAGACGGCACAAGAGGGAGGCUAGUGGUAGUACCUCGUGCCCCUUUCCAACUCCACUGGAUAGGGAGCAAAUAGAGUAUAGAGCAUAAGAAAGUAAAAAUGAAAGACAAAGUUAAUGAAAGUAUAUAAGAAGAAUCAAGUCAAAUUUUUAAUCACUUGAAAACACACUUUAAGGAUGAAAUCAUUGCAAGAUAAUGUUUAAAUAGGGGGAGUUUACUUGAAAAGAAUUGAUUUUGAUCCUUGACAUGCUUGUUCUUAAUAUUUUAAUGCAUGACUUAACACAUAAUAUAUUUUGCAUGUGGCAUGAUGUUUUGAAUUAUGGGUUCUCAAUAUUUUGUAAUGCUCCAUGCUUGGAUAAGUUGAUUGAAUUAUGUUUUAACUUGGAAUAUGUCUUAACUUUGCUCACAAGUCUUUGCUUCACCCUUGCCUCAAACUAACUUGUGUUCCAAUGCUUGAAUGUUUAAAAUACUACAUAAAGUUUUUUUUAAGUAAUAUUAAAAAG